AGUUAGUUUGGUUUUGGCUAACAUUUGUUAUUAGCUCUACAUUAGAAAAAUACAUGGUAAAGAAGUUUUUGAAUUGUGAGUAUAGAUUAGAUUGUUCUUUGACCUAAAUGGUGGAAAGUUGAGUAUCUAGUUUUGAUAUUAAGUCGUUAAAAUGUCUAGAGUUUUUCACAACACCAGUAUAGAAAUUUAUUUAAUAAAUGUAAGUUUGAAAUAGAUAAGUGUGAGAGAACUAGUAAAAAAUUGUGCCAGCAACUGCGGUUAUACAAUUGGUUCAAGUUAAUAGUGUUCGGCUUAAAAGGUAGUUAGAAGAAGAUUAAUGGUAGAUGUAAGAAGAAUUUAAUUAUAGGUUAAAUUUGUGAUUAAAUUUUAAUUUUUAGGAUGUCUAUAUUUUGAAGCUACGAAAUUUUAGUUAAAAACUGGGAUUAGAUACCCCAUUAUUCUAAAUUUUGAAUCAUGAUAAGUUUAUUUGCCAGGGUACUACGAGACAUUUCUUAAAACCCAAAAGACUUGGCGGCACCUUAUAUCUUUUUAGGGGAACCUGUCCUGUAAUCGAUAAUCCUCGUUUAACCUAACCUUCCUUUGUGAUUCAGUCUAUAUACCGCCGUCGUCAGGUCACUUUAUAAAAAUAAAGUAGUGAGCUAGAUAAUAUAUUUAAAAUUGUUAUUACGUCAGGUCAAGGUGUAGCUUAUGGGAAGGGUAGAGAUGGGUUACAAUUCUUGAGUAGGAAUUAUGAAUCAUUAUGUGAAAUAUUUAAUGUGAAAGUGGACUUAAUAGUAAAGUUACAGUAAGAGAGGUAGCUUGAAUGUUGCUCUAGGUGUGCACACAUCGCCCGUCGCUCUCGUUAUUGAAAUGAGAUAAGUCGUAACAAAGUAGGCGUAACGGAAGUUGCUCCUAGAU
rnacentral:rRNA from 1 species